rnacentral:rRNA from 1 species
AUUGAACGCUGGCGGCAUGCCUUACACAUGCAAGUCGAACGGUAACGCGGGGCAACCUGGCGACGAGUGGCGAACGGGUGAGUAAUGCAUCGGAACGUGCCCAGUAGUGGGGGAUAGCCCGGCGAAAGCCGGAUUAAUACCGCAUACGACCUACGGGUGAAAGCGGGGGACCGUAAGGCCUCGCGCUAUUGGAGCGGCCGAUGUCAGAUUAGGUUGUUGGUGGGGUAAAGGCCUACCAAGCCGACGAUCUGUAGCUGGUCUGAGAGGACGACCAGCCACACUGGGACUGAGACACGGCCCAGACUCCUACGGGAGGCAGCAGUGGGGAAUUUUGGACAAUGGGGGCAACCCUGAUCCAGCCAUGCCGCGUGCGGGAAGAAGGCCUUCGGGUUGUAAACCGCUUUUGUCAGGGAAGAAACGCUCUGAGUUAAUACCUCGGGGUAAUGACGGUACCUGAAGAAUAAGCACCGGCUAACUACGUGCCAGCAGCCGCGGUAAUAC